rnacentral:rRNA from 1 species
AUUGAACGCUGGCGGCAUGCUUUACACAUGCAAGUCGAACGGCAGCGGGGAGGAGCUUGCUUCUCUGCCGGCGAGUGGCGAACGGGUGAGUAAUACAUCGGAACGUGUCGAGAAGAGGGGGAUAACCACCCGAAAGGGUGGCUAAUACCGCAUAAAUUCUGAGGAAGAAAGCUGGGGACCUAGGAAUAGGCCUAGCGCUUUUUGAGCGGCCGAUGUCGGAUUAGCUAGUUGGUGAGGUAAAGGCUCACCAAGGCGAAGAUCUGUAGCGGGUCUGAGAGGAUGAUCCGCCACACUGGGACUGAGACACGGCCCAGACUCCUACGGGAGGCAGCAGUGGGGAAUUUUGGACAAUGGGGGCAACCCUGAUCCAGCCAUGCCGCGUGUAUGAAGAAGACCUUAGGGUUGUAAAGUACUUUUGUUAGGGAAGAAAAGUCAGCUGUGAAUAAUGGCUGAUACUGACGGUACCUAAAGAAUAAGCACCGGCUAACUACGUG